AUGCCUCCUAGGAAGAAGCGCAAGAGCGCGCCGGCGCUGACGGUGGUGAGCGCCCCGGACCACAUCAGCGCCCUCCCCGACAGCAUGCUCCACCACGUGCUCUCCUUCCUCCCGGUUCAGGCGGCCGUGCGGACGUGCGUGCUCGCCCGGCGCUGGCGCCACCUCUGGAGGUCCACCACCGGCCUGCGCAUCGUCGGGCUCGAUGACAAGAAGCACCUCCGGAACUUCAUGCACCACCUGCUCGUCCUGCGUGAGCGCACCGAUCUAGACACUGUCGAGAUCAAGCUCGGGGUAUUCGUGGAAGAAGACCAGACUCACGUGAACCUCUGGACCCGCUUCGCCGUGAUGUGCAGUGCCCGGGCGCUCACCCUCCAUGUGAGCGGCCCUCUACGCCUCUACCUGGACGACCUGCCUCUCGUCUCUCGGCAUCUCAGAACGCUGGACCUUCACGAUGUAGACCUACCAAAGAGCUUUAUUGAUUUCGCUGGCUGCCCAGCGUUGGAGGGUCUGAAGAUGAACCUCUGCAGCGUCAGCGUCGGCAGGAUAUCGUCGUGUUCCCUGAGGCAUCUGAGCAUCACCGGCUGCCACUUCGGCUUGGGUCGCCGGGUGAUCGUUUCUGCUCCGGGCCUCGUCUCUCUGAUCCUGAAACUAGUCGGAUCGUCGGACACUAAAACGCCUUGCCUUGAGAGCAUGGCGUCGCUAGAGACGGCGCGUGUUUAUCUUGGCCUUAACUGCGCGGAUGUAUGUUUGAAUUACGACGACUCUGGUCAUUUCUGUGGAGCUAAUGAUAAAGCAUGUAACAAUUGUGUUCCCAUUAAGGAUGAUGGCAGCGGCGAUGCUGUGCUUCUGGGUGGUAUCUCAAGUGCUACACAUCUUGAGCUGAGAUCUCUACCUAGAAAGUUCAUUUUCGCAAGAGAUUUGAAACACUGCCCUACAUUCAACAAGCUAAAGAGUUUACUACUCAACGAGUACUGGUGCGAGGCUCCUGGUUUGGAUCCACUGCUUUGCAUUCUGAAAAACUCACCAGUUCUAGAGAAACUAACUCUUCAACUGUUUUUGAUGGGACAAAAUAAUAAACUGCAUUUGAAAGGAAGCUACAAAUCAAUGGAGAGACCAUCUGCAAUAUCACGGCACCUUAACAUAGUUGAAGUCAAGUGUGACGUGGUCGAGGAGAGGAUUUAUGAAGUUAUCAAGUUACUGUGUGCUGCACUUAACAUACGAUUCAUUUUCGAGUAG
rnacentral:rRNA from 1 species